AAUAAUGAUAUUUAUACAGGUCGAUGAGGCAGGUGUUGAAAGCAAAGAUAUUGAAUUGGUUAUGUCUCAAGCUAAUGUCUCCAGAACUAAAGCUGUUAGAGCUCUCAAGAACAAUAACAAUGAUAUUGUCAAUGCUAUUAUGGAGCUCACUAUGUAGUUUCAAAUUAUUGUUAAAAGUGGACAGUACCAUCUACCAAAUACAUUGUUGCUUGUAUUAUCUGCAGUGUGUUCAUUCUUGCCUUCUCUCUGUCAGAAAGAUGCAAACUGUAAAAUAAAAUUUGAGUUUCAAAGUCAGUGCUGUCUAACACACGUCAAGUAA